rnacentral:rRNA from 1 species
GAUGAACGCUGGCGGCGUGCCUAAUACAUGCCAGUCGAGCGAACAGAUGAGGAGCUUGCUCCUCUGACGUUAGCGGCGGACGGGUGAGUAACACGUGGAUAACCUACCUAUAAGACUGGGAUAACUUCGGGAAACCGGAGCUAAUACCGGAUAAUAUAUUGAACCGCAUGGUUCAAUAGUGAAAGACGGUUUUGCUGUCACUUAUAGAUGGAUCCGCGCCGCAUUAGCUAGUUGGUAAGGUAACGGCUUACCAAGGCAACGAUGCGUAGCCGACCUGACAGGGUGAUCGGCCACACUGGAACUGAGACACGGUCCAGACUCCUACGGGAGGCAGCAGUAGGGAAUCUUCCGCAAUGGGCGAAAGCCUGACGGAGCAACGCCGCGUGAGUGAUGAAGGUCUUCGGAUCGUAAAACUCUGUUAUUAGGGAAGAACAAAUGUGUAAGUAACUAUGCACGUCUUGACGGUACCUAAUCAGAAAGCCACGGCUAACUACGUG